rnacentral:lncRNA from 1 species
UUCAGAUUUCAAUUCUUCGUAGAAGAAUAAGGACAACCUUUUAACCUUGGGGAAUUUAUAUAACCUUUCUAAGUUUUACUGGACCAAAUACAUAAUAUGUAUUCAGUUAGUAUUAAUUCUCCCCACUCCCUUUCAGUCUUGACUUGUGAAGCCAGUGUUUGGUAUAGGAGAGAAUUUUAUCUAAGUAAGAUCAUAAUUGCCCUUAAGAUGAAAAUUUACUAAUAACUAUAAGAUGUUUGAUAAAAUCCUUCCACUUCUUGAUUGUGGAAAUUUAGGUUGUGG